rnacentral:snRNA from 1 species
CCAUGAGAUGUUAUUUAUAACCA